CAGAGUGAUGAAAACUAGGAGCAUUUGCCGAUUGAGCGGAAAAAGAUGAUGCAAAAGCCCUUCCUGUCGCAUCACUAA